rnacentral:rRNA from 1 species
GACGAACGCUGGCGGCGUGCUUAACACAUGCAAGUCGAACGGAAAGGCCCUGCUUUUGUGGGGUGCUCGAGUGGCGAACGGGUGAGUAACACGUGAGUAACCUGCCCUUGACUUUGGGAUAACUUCAGGAAACUGGGGCUAAUACCGGAUAGGAGCUCCUGCUGCAUGGUGGGGGUUGGAAAGUUUCGGCGGUUGGGGAUGGACUCGCGGCUUAUCAGCUUGUUGGUGGGGUAGUGGCUUACCAAGGCUUUGACGGGUAGCCGGCCUGAGAGGGUGACCGGCCACCUUGGGACUGAGAUACGGCCCAGACUCCUACGGGAGGCAGCAGUGGGGAAUAUUGCACAAUGGGCGGAAGCCUGGUGCAGCAACGCCGCGUGCGGGAUGACGGGCUUCGGGUUGUAAACCGCUUUCGCCUGUGACGAAGCGUGAGUGACGGUAAUGGGUAAAGAAGCACCGGCUAACUACGUG